UAAUACGUAGGUGGCAAGCGUUGUCCGGAAUUAUUGGGCGUAAAGCGCGCGCAGGCGGUUCUUUAAGUCUGAUGUGAAAGCCCACGGCUCAACCGUGGAGGGUCAUUGGAAACUGGGGAACUUGAGUGCAGAAGAGAAGAGCGGAAUUCCACGUGUAGCGGUGAAAUGCGUAGAGAUGUGGAGGAACACCAGUGGCGAAGGCGGCUCUUUGGUCUGUAACUGACGCUGAGGCGCGAAAGCGUGGGGAGCAAACAGGAUUAGAUACCCUGGUAGUCCACGCCGUAAACGAUGAGUGCUAAGUGUUAGAGGGUUUCCGCCCUUUAGUGCUGCAGCAAACGCAUUAAGCACUCCGCCUGGGGAGUACGGCCGCAAGGCUGAA
rnacentral:rRNA from 1 species